rnacentral:tRNA from 1 species
GCCCUCGUAGCUCAGGGGAUAGAGCACUGGUUUCCGGUACCAGGGGUCGGAGGUUCGAAUCCUCUCGAGGGCA